rfam:Trichomonas vaginalis G3, whole genome shotgun sequence.
UCAGUGCUGUGUCUGUUAAUAUGGUCAAGCCAACGAAGCACCGGUAAAUAGCUGGGGUAACUAUGACUCUUAUCAAAGUAGCGAAAUACCUCGUCACUUUAUUAGUGACCUGCAUGAACGGAGCUAUGAGGUUCUCACUGUCCCAAACUGUCUCUCAGCGAACCAACUGUAGUGGGAACGGUCACUAGAUAUCCAGCGGGGAAAGAAGACCCUGUAGAGCUUCACUUUGGUCUAGUCUUGUAUAGUUCCUGCGGGGGUGUAGACUAGGUGGGAGAGCAAUCGAUUCUGAAAAACCACUACCCUGUUUGGAAUUAUGCUUACCUAUCACAAGGAAUAGGACUAGAUAGAAAGUUUGGCUGGGGCGGCACACCUUCGAAAGAGCAGCGAAGGUGUCCUAAGUUGAGCUCAGUGAGGACAGAAAUCUCACGUUGAGGAUAAGGCCAAAAGCUCAAUUUACUGUGCCUUUUUGUACUAGGAUCAGUUACGAAAGUAAGGCCUAACGAUCCCUAAAUAGCCUCAGGUGCGUGAGGAUUGGGGUGACAGACAAGUUACCUCCGGGACAACUGGCUUGUGGCUGCUAAGAGAUCAAAUCAACGCAGCUUUUUGAUUCUUCGAUGUCGGCUCUUCCUAUCCUAGUGAUGUACAAGUUGCUAAGGGUCGGAUUGUUCACCCGUAUUAGGGAUCGUGAGCUGGGUUUAGACCGUCGUGAGCCAGGUUUGUUUUAUCCUACUGGAUAUAGCAUCAUGAUAGUAGAUUGAUUUAGUACGAGAGGAACUGUUGAUUAUGGCCUCUGGUUAGCGAUUAUCGGAAACGGUAUGUCGCGCAGCUACGCCGUCUGGGAUAAUGGCUGAAAGCCUCUUAAGCCAGAAGCCCAUCUAGAAAGUGAUGCACGUGAUGUUGGACCGAUACGAAUAAUCAUACUCAAAAGGUCCGCUUCAUAGGUAACCCAAUGUAGAAGACAUUGUGUGAACGAAGGUACUGUAAGCAGUGGAGUGGCAUUACGUCCACGACCUGUUGAGGUCAGC